rnacentral:rRNA from 1 species
ACGAACGCUGGCGGCUGCUUAACACAUGCAAGUCGAACGGAGUGGCGAACGGGUGAGUACCGCGUGAGCAACCUGCCUAUGACAGUGGGAUAGCCUCGGGAAACCGGGAUUAAUACCGAAUCGUCAUAGAUGGGCUCGCGUCUCAUUAGCUAGUUGGUGAGAUAACAGCCCACCAAGGCGACGAUCAGGAGCCGGUCUGAGAGGAUGAACGGCGACAUUGGAAGUGGGACACGGUCCAAACUCCUACGGGAGGCAGCAGUGGGGAAUAUUGCACAAUGGGGGAAACCCUGAUGGAGCGGCGCCGCGUGAACGAAGAAGGUAGUCGUAUCGUAAGGUUCUGUCCUAUGGGAAGCAGUACCAUAGAAGAAAGCUCCGGCUAAAUACGUGCCAGCAGCCGCGGUAAUUC